rnacentral:rRNA from 1 species
CCUACGGGAGGCUGCAGUGGGGAAUAUUGCACAAUGGGCGCAAGCCUGAUGCAGCCAUGCCGCGUGUGUGAAGAAGGCUUUCGGGUUGUAAAGCACUUUCAGCGGGGAGGAAGGCGGUGAGGUUAAUAACCUCCUCGAUUGACGUUACCCGCAGAAGAAGCACCGGCUAACUCCGUGCCAGCAGCCGCGGUAAUACGGAGGGUGCAAGCGUUAAUCGGAAUUACUGGGCGUAAAGCGCACGCAGGCGGUCUGUCAAGUCGGAUGUGAAAUCCCCGGGCUCAACCUGGGAGCUGCAUUCGAAACUGGCAGGCUAGAGUCUUGUGGAGGGGGGUAGAAUUCCAGGUGUAGCGGUGAAAUGCGUAGAGAUCUGGAGGAAUACCGGUGGCGAAGGCGGCCCCCUGGACAAAUACUGACGCUCAGGUGCGAAAGCGUGGGGAGCAAACAGGAUUAGAUACCCUAGUAGUC